rnacentral:lncRNA from 1 species
UACUUGACGGGACGCGUUGCCGCCCGUUAAAUUUAGCACAAUGUAGUGCGGUGUCGCGAUUGAUGAACCGAGUUUUGUUGUUUAUGAAUCGCCGUGAGUGACGUUAAGUGCAAGCGUUUCAAAGAACCAAGCGUAUAAAUCCGGUCGAAAGCUUUUGAAAUUACGUUCAUAACUCGUACCUUUUAUUACCGCGAUUUAUCACUAAAUCACGUUGAAAAUAUGACUUAAUAAACAGACGCAAAGAAAUCAAAAUCUUUAUAAGAAUCUAAGUUAUCUGAUUUAUCAGUACAUUUAUGUUGUAUCUAGCACGAUUUAAGUAAAAUAUGUGAUCUAUUUAUUUUAUCUUCAAGGAUUUAACUCGUGCUUUUAUUUGGUUGUACGAAAGGUUUUUUGUUAAACUGAAAAUUUUUUAAAUUCCAAACAGACGUUCAAUCAAUUUCAGCGUUGUUCACGUCCGAAAUGAAAAUAGCCACGGUGUUAAACAACAACGAACGGGGGUCGGAAGGUUCACAGGGCCAAAGCCAAAUAUUUGUUUUCGUUUGACGGGCGUAAAAAGAGGUUACGUUUGUUUUCUUCCCGCGUUGGAGAUGCUGUUCGUUGAAAGGUCCGAUAAAUAUUUUCAUUAGCAAUGUGCAGUUGUUUAGUAGCGUUGACAGAAAAUUAACAGCGGUAGGUUCACGAUUCCAAGAUUUUGAAUGCUUCAAAAUGUUGUAAUCAGGUGAACAAGCAAUCUUCAGGCAAUCAGGUGAUCAACUGCUUCACUGACUAUAACUAGGGCCAGCCCUCAACACUGAAAAACAAAGAUCGACUGGCAUAAUAUACUUUGAAAUCCACAAGUAUCUUCAUAAACUGAAAUCUUCGUUAUACUCAAAUACUAUGUAUAAGUUGUUAAUACAUAACUAUGAUAUUUUAAGAUUUUCAUUAUUGUCUACAAAAGAAAUAAGUGAACAUAUAUCAUUCUUGUAAUAAAUGUAUGAUUGUAUAAACAGAUAUGGUGACUUUGUAUAGAAUACAUUUUUUAUCAACAAAUUAAGAAGGAUACUUUUCUUGUGUACUCCAUGUUCUGGUCACAUAUGGUUUUAAUCUAAUUUUAUAGAUUGUAAAGGUAUAGAGUUUCCAAAUGAGGAAAUGCGUGAACGUUUCACCGCCAGGGACUUAAUCCAGUCUUGAUCCAACGUGUUCGAUAACGGGAUGUCGAUAUAGCGUAAACAUUUAUUUAUAAACGAACGUUUACUCGACUAAAGCCUAUCGAUAUCGCGACCACGUUCGAUCAGAAUAUUUUGUGCACGACAACAAUGUAAAAUAAAGUUUAAACAUAUAUAUUCUUUUAUGUGUACCAUAAACUGCGAAGAAUUACAUAAACAAAACCUGUCUAUUAAAUUUACCUUAAUAAAAAUGGUGAUCAAUAUUUGUCUGUAAAAUCGUGCAAAUAAAUGGAGAUAUAAAGGUGUGGCGAAACAUUUAUACAGCUUUCAAAGCACCGUUUGAAAGAAUAUAAAAGUUUAGGUGGCAUUAAAGAUUGUUCGUUCCCUUCUAUUCCACUCCCUUAUAAAUAGCGGCACGUUUGUUUAGAUAUCGUGAUCCCAUAAAAGGGGAGAGAAGUUACGAUAAGUCUAUAUUAUCUAAUAAAUUAACAUUAUCCUUUCAUCUUCUCCAUCUUUUAACAAUAUUAUUUACA